UACGGGGGGGGCAAGCGUUGUUCGGAAUUACUGGGCGUAAAGGGCUCGUAGGCGGCCAACUAAGUCGGACGUGAAAUCCCUCGGCUUAACCGGGGAACUGCGUCCGAUACUGGAUGGCUUGAGUAUGGGAGAGGGAUGCGGAAUUCCAGGUGUAGCGGUGAAAUGCGUAGAUAUCUGGAGGAACACCGGUGGCGAAGGCGGCUAACUGGUCCAGAUCUGACGCUGAGGUGCGAAAGCGUGGGGAGCAAACAGG
rnacentral:rRNA from 1 species